UAGGGAAUCUUCGGCAAUGGGGGGAACCCUGACCGAGCAACGCCGCGUGAGUGAAGAAGGUUUUCGGAUCGUAAAGCUCUGUUGUAAGUCAAGAACGAGUGUGAGAGUGGAAAGUUCACACUGUGACGGUAGCUUACCAGAAAGGGACGGCUAACUACGUGCCAGCAGCCGCGGUAAUACGUAGGUCCCGAGCGUUGUCCGGAUUUAUUGGGCGUAAAGCGAGCGCAGGCGGUUUGAUAAGUCUGAAGUUAAAGGCUGUGGCUCAACCAUAGUUCGCUUUGGAAACUGUCAAACUUGAGUGCAGAAGGGGAGAGUGGAAUUCCAUGUGUAGCGGUGAAAUGCGUAGAUAUAUGGAGGAACACCGGUGGCGAAAGCGGCUCUCUGGUCUGUAACUGACGCUGAGGCUCGAAAGCGUGGGGAGCGAACAGGAUUAGAUACCCUGGUAGUCCACGCCGUAAACGAUGAGUGCUAGGUGUUGGAUCCUUUCCGGGAUUCAGUGCCGCAGCUAACGCAUUAAGCACUCCGCCUGGGGAGUACGACCGCAAGGUUG
rnacentral:rRNA from 1 species